rnacentral:rRNA from 1 species
CCGUAGCCCAAGAGACUGGGAUAACACCUGGAAACAGAUGCUAAUACCGGAUAACAACACUAGACGCAUGUCUAGAGUUUAAAAGAUGGUUCUGCUAUCACUCUUGGAUGGACCUGCGGUGCAUUGGCUAGUUGGUAAGGUAACGGCUUACCAAGGCAAUGAUGCAUAGCCGAGUUGAGAGACUGAUCGGCCACAUUGGGACUGAGACACGGCCCAA